UGAGUAAUUUAGGAAAGAUGCAACCUCCAGAUCGGAAUGUCUCGUAAAGAUGAGGAUAUGUCAUUCCUUGGAUUUCCAACUCAUGCCCCUUAAAGCGAGCCAACCUUUCCUUUCUUCUUUCGGCUAUCAUUUCUUCUCUUUCCUUCUUAGUUGGCUUGUACCCCAGGCCAAACCUUUCUUCAUUUUUGGUAGUACGUAUGGGACUUCUAAUGCCUUGUAGUUCUUUUCCCAAUCCUGCCCCCGCUCGGUAUCCUUUUCCUAAUAUCUGACUGACAACCAUCUUGGUGGUUUUGGAAAGCCUCGGAAUAGGCGGUGUGGUUCCUUCUCCAACAUACGUGGUGUUAACAAACUCGAAGGAUCGGAAGGAACAUUCAGGCACUUCUUCCGCCGCUUCCACGUAAGGCGUAUCUGCUGGCUUGCUUAUGAGUAAGUCCUCUUCCCCGUUAACACAGACAAUCUUCCCUUCCACGAUGAACUUGACCUUCUGAUGAAGAGAU
rnacentral:lncRNA from 1 species